rnacentral:rRNA from 1 species
GGUUUUUUGUAAUUAAUUUAAGAUCGGACCUGCCCAUUGAUUAAAAAUAUUAAAAGGCUGCGGUAUUUUAACUGUACGAAGGUAGCAUAAUCAUUUGUCUUUUAAUUGGAGGCUAGUAUGAAUGGUUUGAUGAAAUAUAAACUUUCUUUAAAUUAUUUAUUUGAAUUUAAUUUUUUAGUUAAAAAGCUAAAAUUUUUUUAUAGGACGAGAAGACCCUAUAGAAGUUUACUAACUUUAUAAAUUAAUUUUUUUUGUUUAUAAAAUAUUUUUUUAGAAGAUUUAGUUUUGUUGGGGUGACAUUGAAAUUUAUUUAACUUUCAAUAAUUUUUUCAUUAAUUUAUGUUUUUUUGAUCCAGAAUUUUUGAUUAUAAGAUUAACUUACCUUAGGGAUAACAGCGUAAUUUCUUUGGAGAGCCCUUAUCGAUAAAGAAGUUUGCGA